rnacentral:rRNA from 1 species
ACACUCGUAGAUGGCGUGGCAACAAAAAAAAUCAGUGCUCCAAAAUGCUUUCGAAAGUAGCAUUUUCGGAGCAUCAUUUCUGUUUUAUCUCUGUUCAGGUUCAGCUCAAGCAGACGGUUCUAUAGCUCGUCAUCUCUGAUUUCUUCCUACUCACCAAGUCACCAUUCAUCAAUAACCCCGUUUCUGUUGUAGUAGUAUUUGUAUUAUUAUGGUGUGAAAAACCGGCAAUACCACCGUAAUCACAUACCAAUACCUUUACAUUACCACUCUCUGAUCCAAACACUUCCCAAGAGGAAAUAUAUAGUAUAGCAGCGUGGUUCCUUUUAUUCCAACACGCUAUCGUCGCCGUCGGUCACCGAUGCCACUGGAUAGAAAAACUAAAAAAAUCAGAACCUACACAAGAAAAAAUAAUGAAGAGAGGGAAGAAGCCUAGGCCGGCACGGCUGUUGGUUCCAUUCUCUUUCGUAUCCAGAUACCUGAUCGGGAUCACGCGUAGUUGCUGAGGACGUGACCGGCGCGACGCCGGAGGUCUUGACAUCAUCCAAGCCGGCUGAUAGGAUGGUCUCCCCGAACUCCGGUGCCGUGCACAAGCUUCUCUAUAUUUAAAAAUAAGAAGUGCGACUCGGAUAAAAGGGGACGGAGUCGGAUGCGUACAGGCGCAGCGCACUACUUCCCCCAGAGAAACACCGGCGAGCAAUAAUAAAUGGCGUCAUAGCCACGGGCCUUCCUCUCCCGAAGCGGAUCACACCAACCCAAGCCCCGCCGCCUCGCCGCCUUCCUCCUCCUCGCCGACCGCCCGCCCGCCCGCGACGGCACGCGUCAGCCCGCUCCCCGCCGCCGGUGCUCGACUGCCGCGGGUGAGGCGGAGAUCCAUCCCUCUGAGCUCCUACUGACUCGACGCCGGUAACGAAUCCCAGCUCCGCGCACCCGAUUGAUUCCCAACCCGUGUCUCCCUCCAGUUCCGAGGAUUUGUUUCGGGGGUUCAGGUUCAGGUUCAGCUGAGUUGCUGGACCCCCCAUGCCACACGUGAACGCCAAGGUGUCGGCGGUGGCGGCGACGGGGAUGUCCGCCGUGCCUGCGGCCGCGGCGCCGCCGUCGCCGAGGAGGUGGGAGGGGGUGGACCCGGCGCUGGAGAGGAUGGUGCUGCGCGCGUGCCUGGACCAGGCCCCCGAGCGCCGCCGCGUGCGCGAGGCCUUCAAGGACGUGCAGCUCAGCAUUGACCACUGCCUCUUCAAGGCACAAUACAGUGACAUUGGAACAAAAGAGUCAUAUGAGCGGAACUCCAGAGGUGUGGAGAUAUUCUCAAAAUGUUGGUUUCCGGAGAACCAUCGUAUGAAAGCAAUUGUUUGUCUCUGCCAUGGUUAUGGAGACACCUGUACCUUUUUCCUUGAUGGGAUUGCUAGGAAGAUUGCUUCGGCUGGAUAUGGAGUAUUUGCAUUGGACUACCCUGGUUUUGGUCUUUCCGAAGGACUUCAUGGAUAUAUUCCAAGUUUUGAUACUCUUGUUGACGAUGUAGCUGAACAUUUUGCUAAGAUCAAAGGGAAUCCUGAAUACAGAGAUCUCCCAAGCUUUCUGUUUGGCCAAUCUAUGGGUGGUGCAGUUGCAUUGAAGAUUCACUUUAAGCAACCAAAAGACUGGAAUGGUGCAAUUCUAGUUGCACCUAUGUGCAAGAUUUCAGAUGAUGUGGUACCAGCUUGGCCUGUUCAGCAAGUUCUGAUUUUCAUGGCUAAACUCCUUCCAAAAGAGAAGCUUGUUCCACAGAAAGACUUGGCAGAAUUAGCAUUCAGAGAGAAAGAAAAACAAGAGCAGUGUUCCUACAAUGUGAUUGCCUACAAGGAUAAACCACGUCUCCGAACAGCUCUGGAGAUGCUGAGGACCACACAAGAGAUAGAAAGUCGCCUAGAAGAAGUUUCCCUGCCCAUAAUCAUUCUGCAUGGCGAGGCUGAUUUGGUCACCGACCCAGGCGUGAGCAAAGAUCUGUAUGAAAAAGCGAAGACAUCGGACAAGACGCUGCGACUUUACAAAGACGCCUACCACGCCAUCUUGGAAGGCGAACCAGACGAGGGGAUCUUCAAAGUUCUCGACGAUAUAAUCUCUUGGCUGGAUCAGCAUUCCGCAAAUGAAAUACCCUCGUCGUGAGCUGCACAGAUUCUUUUUGUUAUUUGUCGAGCCUCAAUGUCACUGAUGGGAAUUCCAUUUUGGGUUUUACACGUGAUACACAUACUUAUUUCCUGCUGAUUGUGAAUAUGUAUCUAGCAUUCAUCAUCUGUG